GGGCGUUUAGCUCAGCUGGUUCAGAGCACCUGCCUUACAAGCAGGGGGUCGGCGGUUCAAAUCCGUCAACGCCCA
rnacentral:tRNA from 2 species